rfam:Streptococcus ratti FA-1 = DSM 20564 Contig002, whole genome shotgun sequence.
GAAUAUCACAAGGAGUGCUUCUUAGCUGAGAUUGCUUUUUGCAAAAUCCUAUGGACCUGAUCUAGUUAGUACUAGCGUGGGGAUGUGACUAAUUGAUGAA